rnacentral:rRNA from 1 species
UCGCCCUGUUUUUCAAAAACAUAGCCCCUUGGAACUCAUAAGGGGUUAGGCCUGCCCAGUGGGAAGCACUUUCCUAAACGGCCGCGGUAUCUUGACCGUGCAAAGGUAGCAUAAUCACUUGUCUCUUAAAUGGGGACCCGUAUGAAUGGCUUUUCAUCCUUUAACUGUCUCCCUUUUUUUCCACACAAACUCCUAUUUACGUGAAGAAGCGUACUUCAGAGAGAAAGACGAGAAGACCCUGUCGAGCUUUAGCCUACCCUACUCACUUACACUCAUCCUUCCCCAGGAAAAAACCUCUGUAGGCCAGGCUUUGGUUGGGGCAACCAUGGAGAAAAAAUAUCCUCCAGUUUUCUAGGAAGAGAAUCAGCUCUCCUUCCCCAUUUUUGAGAACCAAUACUUUUGGAAAACGGAAAAAGUUACCGCAGGGAUAACAGCGUUAUCUUUUCUAAGAGCCCUUAUUGACGAAAAGGAUUGCGACCUCGAUGUUGGAUUGGGGUAACCAGAGGGUGCAGCAGCUCUUUAAGGUUGGACUGUUCGUCCAUUAAUUCCCUACAUGAUCUGAGUUAAAACCCGGAGA